rnacentral:lncRNA from 1 species
AGAGACAUAGUUAUCAUUUUUUUGCUCUAAAAAAACAAUUUUCCCAAGAUUAUAAGGGUUGACAUUUGUUUCUUGUUUUUUUUUUUUUGAACGACUUGUUUUUUAUUUCUAUAUAUGUUUAUUCGUACGUUAUCAAGCCCAUAUUUAGUUUUUCUGCCCAUUUUCUUCCAUGUAACACAAUUAUCUAAUCAUUUUAUGUGUGCCAUGUGACAUUAUGAUUGGUAUUUCUUAUACUCUCACAAAAUAUAUUUUUGCAAAAAGGGUUAUCAAGAAAUUCACGAUAUUCUCCAGAAUAUCUAAAUAGCUAUAUCAUGUACAAUAAGUAUUGAUUUCCAUUUUGGCCAUUAUUUUGACUAGGAUAGUCAUUUGUAUGUAUUUUUGUAUAAAACGUAAUUUAUAUUCAUACCGAAAAAAUGUUAUUUAUAUGUAAGCUAAAACUUGAAACAUAUUCCCGUUCGAUAAUAUUGUGACGUUUUGGGAGUGUCGGUGAUCCGGCUCAUAUAUACUAUAUAUAGUAAGGUUAUUAGCUAACGACAAAUAUAAAUAAUUCGAACUACCCACUAUAUAUUUUGUAGAUACCUGGAAUGGCGUCUCGGC